rnacentral:misc_RNA from 1 species
GUGAAUCAUCGAAUCUUUGAACGCAUAUUGCGCCCGCCAGCACUCUGGCGGGCAUGCCUGUUCGAGCGUCAUUUCAACCCUCAGGCCUCGCGUCUGGCGUUGGGGCGCUGCGGCCCUCCCGCAGGCCCCCAAAUUUAGCGGCGGAUUCCCCGCGGCCCUGAGCGCAGUAGAGAGUAAAAACUUUAACGCUCCGGCGGCCGUGGCGCGGUUCUGCCUCUUUCCCAAUAGCGCCAAUAGCGCCACCCCCAAAAAAGUUGACCUCGGAUCAGGUAGGACUACCCGCUGAACUUAAGCAUAUCA